CGACACCUUACCCUGGGCCUACCUGGUAGGCACAUUUCACAGAGUCCAUGGACUCAGCGGAACCGUCAUUGUACAAAGAGCAUGAAGUCACUGCUUUUGAGCACCUCCCGGGCACCGUGUUCCGUGUCGUUUAAUCCUGCCAGGGAAGUGAUUUCAUCACUUGCCCUUUACAGUUGCUUCCAGGGGACAUCUGCUGAGAGGAGCCAGUCAAUAUUGUAGAGAAGUUCAAAGAAUACUCAUCAUUAGCAGUGUCAGCUUUACAACCAGGAGGAGACAAGGCGUUGAGAAGUGCUGGAUUUUAUAACAGUUUCAUUCGCAGAAAUAUGCCUAAUCUUGAAGGGGCUCUAACGCUAGGUAGCUCAAUGAAUUAGCACCGAAGGACGAGGAGUGUGAAAUAAUGCCACUUCCUAAACAGCUGUUAUCAGUCAGCUGGCCCUCCCCACCACACACAUCCAGGAGUUCAGAGCAUGCUUGAAGAAAGCUUUGGAUGCCAGAAAUGAAAUGAGAAGUUGGAGGGUCAGAGGUCAUUCCGAGGAAGGGUUAAAGAACUGUGGGCCGGAUGUGAUUGGCGUAAAUAAAAGAGGAAACUACAAUAAACCAUACAUCCCCUGGUUUAUAAGUACAAAUGCAUGAAUCCAUCGUUUAAUAAAUAAGUAAUUAUUUAUUAAAUAUCAG
rnacentral:lncRNA from 1 species